UCAAACUUGGUCAUUUAGAGGAAGUAAAAGUCGUAACAAGGUCUCCGUAGGUGAACCUGCGGAGGGAUCAUUACAAAUUCAGUGGGGCGUCGGUUUCGGCCGGCGCGUCGCGUCAACCUCUGUGAACCAUCUCUGUUGCCUCGGGGGCGACCCUGCCGUUUCGGCGGUAGGGGCCCCCGGCGGCCAUCUCAAACACUGCGUUUAUUUGCGUCGGAGUUUAAACAAAUCAAUCAAAACUUUCAACAACGGAUCUCUUGGUUCUGGCAUCGAUGAAGAACGCAGC
rnacentral:misc_RNA from 1 species